AGUGACUCAGCGUUUUUUUCGGAUAUCUACUUCCUCUUCUAUCGGACUUUUGCUGAUGAGCCUCGCUGCGUUGACCCUCCCCCACCUGACAGGAUGCAAAGUCUGGCCUCUCAGCAGAUAAUGUGACGCACACGUGUGCGAGCGGAAGACGGGGGGGGACCUGCCGACCACAAAGGGUCCGCUCCUGGAUGCCCGUGCUAUGAUAACACGAGGAAGCCAGGGGAGGAAGACGUGUCUGCGGCCGCUUGGCGGGUCUGUGUGCCGCUGAGAGUCACAAUUAUCUCUCAGAGGGUGACACCCGGGACUCUGACACGGCGGCCACGGGUAGCAGGGUGAUUGGACUUUUUACCGGUUUUCAUCACAGGGCAAAGCACUUUAAAAGUGUCCAGCUGUGAAUACUCUAAUUGUUGUAAAUUGGCACCGAAGAGGUGACACAAAGUGUGGCCGAGGUAAAAAAAAUACUCUUAUAAAAACAUUCCUGAUGCUCAAAAUAAAUGUCCAGAUCCCCUCAUAUAUUUCGGCGCAAGCACAUGUGUACAUUGAACCUACAAUCUGUGCACUCUUAGAACAGAGUAAUCGUUCUAUACUCAGAGGACUACGAGACAUAGGUGUUUUUUUUUUUUGGUGCGUUCAAGAACCGCAGAACCGAGUAGGACACCACAACGCUUGCCAGAAAUGGAUAAAAAAUAAUAAUAUUAGAUUUUUUUGUCAUGCACUUUUCAUUUAAAUCAAUCUUAAAAAGGCCUUGGUGUCCUCAUGUGUGGGCAGCACCUUUUUAGCUCUUAUUUCCAAAAUUGUGUACACUACUAAAUAUGCCAACAUAUGGACACUUAUACUGCUAUCUGGUGGUGUCAGAAGAGUAUAACAUACAAUGGAAUUUGGAAAAAUAGUGUGAAAAUAAAAAUUAGCAUGUCACUACA